AUCUGCCUGGUAGUGGGGGAUAACGUCCGGAAAUGGGCGCUAAUACCGCAUACGUCCUACGGGAGAAAGCAGGGGACCUUCGGGCCUUGCGCUAUCAGAUGAGCCUAGGUCGGAUUAGCUAGUUGGUGAGGUAAUGGCUCACCAAGGCGACGAUCCGUAACUGGUCUGAGAGGAUGAUCAGUCACACUGGAACUGAGACACGGUCCAGACUCCUACGGGAGGUAGCAGUGGGGAAUAUUGGACAAUGGGCGAAAGCCUGAUCCAGCCUUGCCGCGUGUGUGAAGAAGGUCUUCGGAUCGUAAAGCACUUUAAGUUGGGAGGAAGGGCAGUAAGUUAAUACCUUGCUGUUUUGACGUUACCGACAGAAUAAGCACCGGCUAACUUCGUGCCAGCAGCCGCGGUAAUACGAAGGGUGCAAGCGUUAAUCGGAAUUACUGGGCGUAAAGCGCGCGUAGGUGGUUCGUUAAGUUGGAUGUGAAAGCCCCGGGCUCAACCUGGGAACUGCAUCCAAAACUGGCGAGCUAGAGUACGGUAGAGGGUGGUGGAAUUUCCUGUGUAGCGGUGAAAUGCGUAGAUAUAGGAAGGAACACCAGUGGCGAAGGCGACCACCUGGACUGAUACUGA
rnacentral:rRNA from 1 species